rnacentral:rRNA from 1 species
GUAAAAAGAAUAGACUAAAUAGUGUGUUAUAAUAAUAUAAUAUUGAUAUUGUGAAGUUAAAUAUUGAGAAAGAAACGUCUAACUUUUUUAGUAAUGGUGACUGAAAAAUUUGUAGGUUAUUGCGCGUAAGUACUGUGAAGGAAACAGUUUUAAUUUUAGGUUAGUAGAGAUUUAAUCUUGUACCUUUUGUAUUAUGGUUCUUCUAGAAAGAAAUUUAUUAGUUAAAUAUUCCCGAAAAAGGCUGAGCUAUUUCUUAGCAUAUAAUUACGUCAACGUAGCAAAGUUGUGUAUAGAUUAAGAAAUAGGGGUGAAAUGCUUUACGAAGUCUUUGAUUGCUGGUUAAUUAGGAAAUGCAUUAAAGUGCAGGUAGGUUAUAUAUUAGUAUUUUAGUUCAUUGAUUUAUUUUGUUUGGGCUGAAAGCGAAGAUCUUACUGACAUGAAAAAGGAUAAGCUUUUUCAUAAUAUUAAGAGAAAAAUUAAUAGAGGCGUGUAAUAAUUUAGUGGGCUUAGAAUUGGCCAUCUGGUAUGAUGAGUUUGUUACAAAUCAAUUGCAAGGAUUGGCCUCAAAAAUCUUUAUUUUUUUUCUCUAAUUUUAAUAAAAGUAGAGUACUAAUUUGAUUGGUUUAAUUAAAAUAGCUGAUUUAUUUCUGGUGAAAUGAGUAUUUAUGUGUAUUAAAUAUUAAAUGUUUAAGUUUAAAAAAUUGAAGGAUUUAACUAAACAGGUAAUUUUUGAAAUUUAGUUUUGUAUCAAACUUAAUUGAUUGAUCUCAAAUCGACACAGUGUUAAUUUAAAAAAAGGAACUCGGCAAAUACGGCUUCGCCUGUUUAUCAAAAACAUCGCUCUUUGGUAUAUAGUUAUUGAGAAUAUAAAGAGUCGGGCCUGCCCAGUGACAUUAUAUGUUAAACGGCCGCGGUACCCUGACCGUGCAAAGGUAGCAUAAUCACUUGCCUUUUGAUUGAGGGCUGGUAUGAAUGGCUUGACGAGAGCUGGACUGUCUCUUUUUAAAUUUAUAAAAAUUAACUUUUAGGUGAAGAGGCCUAAAUUCAACUGAGUGACGAAAAGACCCUAUUGAGCUUUAGUUAAUUAACAAAAUUUUUAAUGUUUUGUUUUUCUAAGCACUUGGAUUUGCAUGUGUGUUUUGUUAAGAAUCUUUAGUUGGGGUGACUUAGGAGUAAAAAAAACUUCCUUUAACUAUUUAAAUAUGUAAGGUAUUCAUACUGAUUUUAUAGAUCCAGUAUUUACUGAUCAAAGGAAAAAGUUACCAUAGGGAUAACAGCGUUAUCUUUCUGGAGAGUUCUUAUUGAAGGAAAGGUUUACGACCUCGAUGUUGGACUAGGAUAUCCUAGAGGUGCAGAAGCUUCUGAUGGUUAGUCUGUUCGACUAUUAAAAUCCUACAUGAUCUGAGUUCAGACCGGCGUGAGCCAGGUUGGUUUCUAUCUUCAGUUGAUUUAUAAGUUAAAUUUUUAGCUAGUACGAAAGGACCGUUGUUAAAAUAAAUAAUUUAUAAAUAAAGAAUCCAUUUUAAGAUUGGGUAUUAAAUUUUACUAGAAUAAGGUAUC